rnacentral:tRNA from 1 species
GGCACCAUGGUUAAGCAUUUGGCUGCUAACCAAAAGGUUGGCAGUUCAAAUCUACCCGCUGCUC